AUUUUUUUGGGCGUGUUCCAAAAUAGUCCAAACACGUCCCUAAAUGUGCUAACACAUUUUAACUUGCUAUUUUGUAAAAGUACAACUGCAGAUUUAGUUUUAGAUGCUUUCCUAUUUCAUUUAGAAUUAGCUUUUAUUUUCCUAUUUUAUUUGGGAUUUAUUUAAUUUUCCUAUUCUAAUUAGUAGGAUUCCUAUUUUGGAUGUAACUAAAUUGGAUUUAUAUUUUCCUAUAUUAGGUUUAAGAGAUCAAAACUCUAUAAAUAGCCCUUAAUUCCAUGUAUUUUCAGUUUUAGAAAUUUGAUUAAUAAAAUUCAGCUGAAAUUUUCUCUCAAAUACCUUAGUGUAUUGUGUGAGUGUGUUUUAUUGAGCUUCACGCUACAUCAAGUUAACUUACUUGGCCAGCAAUGUAAUCAUUCAAGAUUAUAGGGAGACCUCGUAUCAUUGCUUCUGCA
rnacentral:misc_RNA from 1 species